rnacentral:rRNA from 1 species
UUAGAGUUGGGAUGCCUGGCUCAGAACGUACGCUGGCGGCACGCCUAACACAUGCAAGUCGAACGAAGUAGCAAUACUUAGUGGCAGACGGGUGAGUAACAUGUAGGUAUCUGCCCUUUGGCCUGGAAUAACACGAGGAAACUUGUGCUAAUACCGGAUAAGUCUUUACAGAGAAAGCUUUAUGCACCAUUGGAUGAGCCUGCACUUGAUUAGUUUGUUGGUAGGGUAAUGGCCUACCAAGACUGUGAUCAAUAGCUGAUUUGAGAGGAUGAUCAGCCACAUUGGGACUGAGACACGGCCCAAACUCCUACGGGAGGCAGCAGUGGGGAAUCUUGCACAAUGGAGGAAACUCUGAUGCAGCGAUGCCGCGUGAGUGAAGAAGGCCCUUGGGUUGUAAAGCUCUUUCGUCGGGGAAGAAAAUGACUGUACCCGAAUAAGAAGGUCCGGCUAACUUCGUGCCAGCAGCCGCGGUAAUACGAAGGGACCUAGCGUAGUUCGGAAUUACUGGGCUUAAAGAGUUCGUAGGUGGUUGAAAAAGUUGGUGGUGAAAUCCCAGAGCUUAACUCUGGAACUGCCAUCAAAACUUUUCAGCUAGAGUUUGAUAGAGGAAAGCAGAAUUUCUAGUGUAGAGGUGAAAUUCGUAGAUAUUAGAAAGAAUACCAAUUGCGAAGGCAGCUUUCUGGAUCAUUACUGACACUGAGGAACGAAAGCAUGGGUAGCGAAGAGGAUUAGAUACCCUCGUAGUCCAUGCCGUAAACGAUGUGUGUUAGACGUUGGAAAUUUAUUUUCAGUGUCGCAGCGAAAGCGAUAAACACACCGCCUGGGGAGUACGACCGCAAGGUUAAAACUCAAAUGAAUUGACGGGGACCCGCACAAGUAGUGGAGCAUGUGGUUUAAUUCGAAGAUACGCGCAGAACCUUACCAACACUUGACAUGUUCGUCGCGACUCUAAGAGAUUAGAGUUUUCGGUUCGGCCGGACGAAACACAGGUGCUGCAUGGCUGUCGUCAGCUCGUGUCGUGAGAUGUUGGGUUAAGUCCCGCAACGAGCGCAACCCUCACUUUUAGUUGCCAUCAUUAAGUUGGGCACUCUGAAAGAACUGCCAGUGAUAAGCUGGAGGAAGGUGGGGAUGACGUCAAGUCCUCAUGGCCCUUACGUGUUGGGCUACACACGUGCUACAAUGGUAUCUACAACAGGAAGCAAGACUGCGAAGUUAAGCAAAUCCCUAAAAGAUACCUCAGUUCGGAUUGCACUCUGCAACUCGAGUGCAUGAAGCUGGAAUUACUAGUAAUCGUGGAUCAGCGUGCCACGGUGAAUGCGUUCCCGGGUCUUGUACUCACC